CAAAUAUAAUUACUUUGAAAGUGGUGUAAGUCCACUUUCUGCAAAGACAUAAUAUUUAAUUCAAAAAUUAUACUACAUACAAACUCUGUGCUAGGACGGCAGAUAAAAACGAACUUCUUACAACCUAUGAUUUCAAAAACCUAUUUCCGUCCCUGAAACUUGAGGCUGCAUGCCUUAUAUUCUAUAGAUUCCUUAGGAAUGUAGUGAACUCGAACUCAACACCACAGGUCCUUAGAGACCUAGCCCACCUCUUGUGCUAUAACUCUACUAUACUUUUAGAGGAAAAUGAUACAGACAGACGUACCCAUCGUACCCAUCAGCAGUCCAUUAGCAGGCGUCCUUGCAGAUAUUGUAAUAAGAGAGGUGAAGCAAAAUGUCUUAAAGAGCAUGAAUACGUCGAUUAUCGAUUACGCUAUAUAUGUGGAUAACAUCUUAGUCAUUUGGAAAGCAAAUACUAGAACAGAAGAAUUAGUAGAAAAACUAACUAAGUGAGAGUUUGGACUACACCUGAAAGAAGACCAGAAAGACACUUCAGAGAUACACUUUCUUGACAUUAAAAUUGGAAA
rnacentral:lncRNA from 1 species